GAUGAACGCUGGCGGCGUGCUUAACACAUGCAAGUCGAACGAACCUUCGGGUUAGUGGCGGACGGGUGAGUAACGCGUGGGAAUCUGCCCUCAGGAGGGGGAUAACGGCUGGAAACGGCCGCUAAUACCCCAUAUGCCGCGAGGUGAAAUGAAUUUCGCCUGAGGAUGAGCCCGCGUCUGAUUAGCUAGUUGGUGGGGUAAAGGCCUACCAAGGCGACGAUCAGUAGCUGGUCUGAGAGGAUGAUCAGCCACACUGGGACUGAGACACGGCCCAGACUCCUACGGGAGGCAGCAGUGGGGAAUUUUCCGCAAUGGGCGAAAGCCUGACGGAGCAACGCCGCGUGAGGGAUGAAGGCCUCUGGGCUGUAAACCUCUUUUCUCAAGGAAGAAGACCUGACGGUACUUGAGGAAUAAGCCACGGCUAAUUCCGUGCCAGCAGCCGCCGUAA
rnacentral:rRNA from 1 species